UCUCUUCUCACUUCAUUUCAUUCAUUUGAUCUUCCAUCACUGAUACCCUUUCUUCUAGUUGAUCGAAUCAGCUACUGAAGCUUGUGCAUUCGUCACGUAGUUCUUGUGCCAUGGUUUUCAGCUCCAUCAGGUCCUUUAAGGACUUAUCUGCAUUGGUGAUUCUAGUUAGCCAUUCGUCUAAUCUUUUUUCAAGGUUUUUAACUUCUUUGUGUUGGGUUUGAACUUCCUCCUUUAGCUCGGAGAAAUUCGAUCAUCUGUAGCCUUCUUCUCUCAACUUGUCAAAGUCAUUCUCCAUCCAGCUUUGUUCCAUUGCUGGUGAGGAGCUGCAUUCCUUUGGAGGAGGAGAGAUGCUCUGAUUUUUUGAAUUUUCAGUUUUUCUGCUCUGUUUUUUCCCCUCUUUGUGGUUUUAUCUACCUUUGGUUUUGAUGAUGGUGAUGUACAGAUGGGGUUUUGGUGUGGAUGUCCUCUCUGUUUGUUAGUUUUCCUUCUAACAGUCAGGACCCUCAGCUGCAGGUCUGUUAGAGUUUUCUGGAGGUCCACUCCAGACCCUUUUUGCCUGGGUAUCAGCAGUGGAGGCUGCAGAACAGCAAAUAUUGGUGAACAGCAAAUGUUGCUGCCUGAUCGUUCCUCUGGAAGUUUCAUCUCAGAGGGAUACCCGGCCGUGUGAGGUGUCAAUCUGCCCCUACUGGGGGGUGCCUCCCAGUUAGGCUACUUGGGGGUCAGGGAACCACUUGAGGAGGCAGUCUGUCCGUUCUCAGAUCUCAAGCUCCGUGCUGGGAGAACCACUGCUGUCUUCCAAGCUGUCAGACAGGGACAUUUAAGUCUGCAGAGGUUUCUGCUGCCUUUUGUUUGGCUAUGCCCUGCCCCCAGAGGUGGAGUCUACAGAGGCAGGCAGGCCUCCUUGAGCUGCGGUGAGCUCCACCCAGUUCGAGCUUUGCAGCCGCUUUGUUUACCUACUCAAGCCUCCGCAAUGGUGGGCGCCCCUCCCCCAGCCUCGCUGCCACGUUGCAGUUUGAUCUCAGACUGCUGUGCUAGCAAUCAGUGAGGCUCCGUGGGUGUAGGACCCUGUGAGCCAUGCGCGGGAUAUAAUCUCCUGGUGUGCUGUUUGCUAAGACUGUCGGAAAAGUGCAGUAUUAGGGUGGGAGUGACCCGAUUUUCCAGGUGCUGUUUGUCCCCACUUCCCUUGGCUAGGAAAGGGAAUUCUCUGACUCCUUGUGGUUCCCGGGUGAGGCGAUGCCUCGCCCUGCUUCGGCUCAUGCUCGGUGCUCUGCACCCACUGUCCUGCACCCACUGUCUGACAAUCCCCAGUGAGAUGAACCCGGUACCUCAGUUGGAAAUGGAGAAAUCACCCAUCUUCUGUGUCGCUCAUGCUGGGAGCUGUAGACUGGAGCUGUUCCUAUUCGGCCAUCUUGGAACCACCCCAGAACAUGGCAAUGGCUACAAUGUCGUACCACAUUAGCAUUAGCACUUCUGGACUAAAUCCUUUUUGCCAUCUCAGGAAAAAGAAAUGUGUUUGCAGUUUACCUUUGUAUUCCUAGAACUACUUUAAAGUCUAAAAAUGAAUAAACAAAUAAUUAAAUGUUAAACAUGUGUUUGCGGUAAAAUAGUCAAGUUUCUGUAUAAGAAUGAGAUAUAAAGUGGUGAACCAACUUUAUAUAACAACAUGACCAUUCUCCUCUGAUGUCAUUAUUACCCAUUCUAAAAAGGAGUUUAUGAAACCGUAAUUACUUUGCCCUAUUUGGGGAGAAUUAAGACAUGGAUAG
rnacentral:lncRNA from 10 species